AUUGAUACAGAUGAUCUACUGGGUCUGAACGAUGAUGCACCUGAUCCGUUAGCAAUCCUAGACCAAAAUGCACUUGCUUUGGCCUUGGUUUCCACUGAUGAUGAUUUUUCGACGUUUGGUUUUGGUCAAGCAAGAGAUUUGGAUUCGUCAGGAUGGGAGCUUGCCCUGGUCACAACACCUAGCAAUGAUAUAUCUGCAGCCACUGAGAGA